ACAUCAUAACAACUGCAUCAUCUCUUCCACCAUACAAGUUUCUCAAGUUCUUUAAAAGAGAAAAAAAAACUGGGUGUAUAGCAGCGAAAGCCGAAGAAAAGGAGAAAAGAUGAUAUACAGCCGCGGAUUCCUGUUAUUUCUCGCCACGCCACUCACAGCUCAGUCCACAGGGAAAGCUGCAAAUCGCCAAAUCGUUCGUUCUCAGCUUCUUCACGGCGGUUCCCGGUUGCGAAAAAAUGGCGGAGAAUGAAAUCGUUCAGCCACCUGAGGAUAUUGCUACUAAGACUAUUGUCGAGAAAACGGCAAGUUUCGUUUCCAAAUAUGAGAGUGAGAUAAUGCUGAAUGAUGUUAGAUUCAAUUUCCUGA